rnacentral:rRNA from 1 species
GUGGUUAGUCCGCAACGAGCGCAACCCACGUUUAGUUGCUAACGCGUGAAGGCGAGCACUCUAGACGAACUGCCGUUGACAAAACGGAGGAAGGUGGGGAUGACGUCAAAUCAUCAUGCCCCUUAUGUUCUGGGCUACACACGUGCUACAAUGGCCGGUACAGACGGACGCAAAGCCGCGAGGUGGAGCAAAUCCGAAAAAGCCGGUCUCAGUUCGGAUUGCAGGCUGCAAUUCGCCUGCAUGAAGUCGGAAUCGCUAGUAAUCGCAGGUCAGCAUACUGCGGUGAAUACGUUCCCGGGCCUU